GGCUACUGAACUUCAAUAACAACUCCCUCACGUCAGUCAAAACAGUCGUCUGCAUUGAGAAUGUCUUAUUGAGAUCUGAAAAGUUUGGAAUAUUACAUAGUGAACGUUUACAGAUGAUAGUGUUUAAUAUGUGCAUACCUUUUUGAAAUUUGAUUUCCAACUUGAGUUCGCCAAUAAUAGCAUCUUUUUCUUGACAGCAACUGCUGCCACAAUCAGCUCUUUUUAAACUGUUGUCUUUCCGUCCCACUGAAACAGGGCUUUGCUUGCCCAAAGGAGUGUUGGUGCAUUCAACCUAAGUUGAAUCCAACAUGUCCUUCCCUUGCGGUGAACUAUGCCCUUUUUCGCCAUUUUCAGUUGUUGCAUCAUCAAAGGAGUCAUUUAAUUGGUCCUAAGUAAAUGAAUAUUAUUAACAUAGAUUAAGUCUGGAUGGCGCCUGUCUCUUGCGCACAGCGCUGCGUUGGUUAAUUGGGAGUACAUUUUGAUUCUUGUCUGUCGUAACCAGCUCCCUAGGAUCAUCCUCUUCGUCCAUGUCACCGUUAUCUUUGGCAUCUUUGUCAUCGUCGCUUUCUCCACAUUGUCCCUCAACGUUAGCAUCUUCACAAUUGGUUGCCUCAUCCUUUUCUAUCUUUGUAUUUGUUGACACUCUCUGGUAAUCAUCUUCCGUGUGCAACUUUACAAUUGCAUCA